GGAGGAAAAGAACUAACAAGGAUUCCCCUAGUAACUGCGAGUGAAGCGGGAAAAGCUCAAAUUUAAAAUCUGACAGUCUCUGGCUGUCCGAGUUGUAAUCUAGAGAAGUGAUGCCCGCGCUGGACCGUGUACAAGUCUCCUGGAAUGGAGCGUCAUAGAGGGUGAGAAUCCCGUCUCUGACACGGACUACCAGGGCUUUGUGGUACGCUCUCAAAGAGUCGAGUUGUUUGGGAAUGCAGCUCAAAAUGGGUGGUAAAUUCCAUCUAAAGCUAAAUAUUGGCGAGAGACCGAUAGCGAACAAGUACCGUGAGGGAAAGAUGAAAAGAACUUUGGAAAGAGAGUUAAACAGURCGUGAAAUUGCUGAAAGGGAAACGCUUGAAGUCAGUCGCGUUGGCUGGGGAUCAGCCUCGCUCUUUUGCGUGGUGUACUUUCCGGUUGACGGGUCAGCAUCAAUUUUGACCGCUGGAAAAAGGCUUGAGGAAUGUGGCAGCUCCGGCUGUGUUAUAGCUUCAUGUCACAUACAGCGGUUGGGAUUGAGGAACUCAGCACGCCGCAAGGCCGGGUUUCGACCACGUUCGUGCUUAGGAUGCUGGCAUAAUGGCUUUA
rnacentral:rRNA from 3 species